rnacentral:lncRNA from 1 species
GGGGUUUGACCCCAAAAUGGGGUUUGGAGCAUCAAAAAUUGGUGUUUGAGGCGUAAAAUUUGGGGUAUUGGUUCCAAAAAUGGGGGUUUGGGAGGUGAAAAAUGGGGGUUUGAGGCACAAAAUGUGGGGGUUUGACCCCAAAAUGGGGUUUGGAGCCUUAAAAAUUGGAGUUUGGGACAUCAAAUGGGGAAAUGGGUUCCAAAAAUGGGGGUUUGGGAGGUGAAAAAUGGGGGUGUGAGGCACAAAAUUUGGGGGUUUGACCCCAAAAUGGGGUUUGGAGCUUUAAAAAUUGGAGUUUGGGACAUCAAAUGGGGAAAUGGGUUCCAAAAAUGGGGUUUGGGAGGUGAAAAAUGGGGGGUUGAG